AACGAACGCUGGCGGCAGGCCUAACACAUGCAAGUCGAGCGAGGACUUCGGUCCUAGCGGCGGACGGGUGAGUAACGCGUGGGAACGUGCCCUUUGCUUCGGAAUACCCCUGGGAAACUGGGAGUAAUACCGGAUGAGCCCUUUGGGGGAAAGAUUUAUCGGCGAAGGAUCGGCCCGCGUUGGAUUAGGUAGUUGGUGGGGUAAUGGCCUACCAAGCCGACGAUCCAUAGCUGGUUUGAGAGGAUGAUCAGCCACACUGGGACUGAGACACGGCCCAGACUCCUACGGAAGGGAGCAGAGGGGAAUAUUAGACAAGGGAGGAAGCCGUGACCGAGCCAUGCCGGGUGAGACAUGAAGGCCUUAGGGUUGUAAAGCUCUUUCAGCUGGGAAGAUAAUGACGGUACCAGCAGAAGAAGCCCCGGCUAACUACGUG
rnacentral:rRNA from 1 species